CAGUAGCCACGGUAAUACGAAGGGUGCAAGCGUUACUCGGAAUUACUGGGCGUAAAGCGUGCGUAGGUGGUGGUUUAAGUCCGUUGUGAAAGCCCUGGGCUCGACCUGGGAAUUGCAGUGGAUACUGGGUCACUAGAGUGUGGUAGAGGAUAGUGGAAUUUCCGGUGUAGCAGUGAAAUGCGUAGAGAUCGGAAGGAACAUCUGUGGCGAAGGCGACUAUCUGGGACAACACUGACGCUGAGGCACGAAAGCGUGGGGAGCAAACAGGAUUAGAUACCCCGGUAGUCCCUGUCUCUUAUAC
rnacentral:rRNA from 1 species